ensembl:lncRNA
CUUAGGCAAUUAAUGGAGGAAUCUAGCCUAGGAGCUACCUUAGUGCGACGGCUCCCUGGAUUGAAGUGCCUCGGUCAGGGGGCGAGUCAGAUCCCAGGGAAAAGGCUUGUGCUUGGCACGGCGCUGACGGAUGAGGCCGGAGGCGGGCUUGGGAGGUCGGCCCUGGCUUGUCCGGGUGUUAAACGUGAGGCGUGGGAGCACCCAGCACCCCGCGCAGAUGGGAGGCCUGGCCAUCUUACCGCCGCUGUUCUGCUUUCCGAGUUACUCCACGCACUGGAUCAGGAAGGCCUCUCUCUGCUUAAGCUGGUCCUGUACCCCUGCCUCUAUAUUUGUACAGCACCAAGCGCUUGAUAAUAGGGCCGUGAAUAACAGCUAAAUCUAUCCCUGCUAAAUCUAUCCCUGCCUGCAGGCUGAACAUGUACGGAGUUGUGCGCAGCUCCAUCCUCUCCAUAAAUUAGGGGUGCAAGAAGCCUUGGGCUAGUCAUUGCUGAGGUUUGGGUCAUUGAUUGGCUUCAGGGAGGGUCAGUCCAACAAAAAUACCCUGAAGUUUCCAAAGGGCAAUUCAUCAGUUUGAAGAUCCUGGGAGGUGAGCUAGCAGGGAAGGAGGAAGCAGAUAAACUGUCGCUGUCAUGUUCCCCUGAAACUUUUCGUGGCGUGAGUUUGCUCUUUCCCACGCCAGCUGUGGAGGUGCUGAGCGUGGUGUGGCAGGACUCAUGGAAGGAUAUUCGGGUAGAAGAAGCUGUUUCUUCUGCCGCUAGGACUGAGGAAGAGGGACAUGGAUCAAUUUGGGAUUUGUCAGUCGCUUGCCACAGGGGUGACUGUCAUGCGGGGACAUUUGGAGGCUUCAGGAAGCCGUCGUGGAGGGUUAGGAUGGGACGUGCCUACGGAGGCCGAAAGUGCCUGGCUUGUUCCCAGCCAUCAGCCCUUCAUGCUCUGGGCUUGCAAACAGGCGGCGCCGGCUGCUCCUGCUGCCAGGCGAGAACAUCAAGCCCUAGCGCGAGCAGGCUGCGUCCCCUACCGAAUGCUGCAACGUGUACGACGGGGCCUGCUGAGGGGCUGGAGAUCAGCAAACCCUUCUGCAAAAUAGCUGCACUAGCAGAAAGGGUCCCUCACUUCAUGCCCACUUUGAUCCCCGCAGUUGCAGCCCCUCUGAUCCCUGCGCCAUCCAGCUGGGCUGUUUCAGUCACCUCCCCCAGGACGCUGUUUUCUGCCAGAUUCCUCCUUGGGUCUACAAGAACCUCUUUCCUCACCUCCAGCUUGGCCCAGCGUCCUGUAAUUGAGAGCCAGCGUGAUCAAGCUAGAUUUGUGGAUCGAGGACGCACGCGUGAACGAAACGGCGCUCACCGCCUGGCUGCGUUCGUUAUCUCUGCGGCCGCCAGCGAGGGCUGGCGUUAUCGCUGAAAUCCUGUCCCUCCCCGAUAAAGGCUCUCGGCAGAGAAAACGUGGCUGCAGAGAUGCAGGCAAAGCCCUCCAUCUUCGAGCCUGCGUGGAAAACCCGCUGUUGGAGGGAGGAAGAGCAGAUUCAUGCCCCCAGAAAGAGCUCCUGAACGUGGCUGRAGCCUACAGGAGGUAGCGCUGGUUUCGCCACGCAGGAUUUCCAAAGGGGGCUGGGGAGAGGCGCCUGGGUCCUCCACGGCUGCCGGGAACUUGCUGGGGGCUCUCGUUUACUUCUUGCUGCCUUGCCCAUGCUUCUGUUUCUAGCUGUGUCCAUCUUAGCUGUCGAAUGACUAAGGAUUUCAGCGCAUCGAUCCGCUCUGUUGUGGAGACUCGCAAAAUACCAGUCAGCAAUAAAGGUGCAUAAAAGCAAUAAAUUCCCA